rnacentral:rRNA from 1 species
UACGUAGGGGGCAAGCGUUAUCCGGAAUUAUUGGGCGUAAAGAGCGUGUAGGCGGUCCGGUAAGUCAGCUGUGAAAGUCAAGGGCUCAACCCUUGAAAGCCGGUUGAUACUGUCGGGCUAGAGUCCGGAAGAGGCGAGUGGAAUUCCCGGUGUAGCGGUGAAAUGCGCAGAUAUCGGGAGGAACACCAAUGGCGAAGGCAGCUCGCUGGGACGGUACUGACGCUGAGACGCGAAAGCGUGGGGAGCAAACAGG